rnacentral:rRNA from 1 species
UCUCUCUGAAUCUGCGAACGGCUCCGCAAACCAGUUGUAAACUAUAGCAAGCCAGCUCGGGUUCGGGCUUCACGGCUCGGGCUCGAGUGAUACGGAUACCCCUGGUAAUUCUGAGGCUAAUACGAGAACGUAACCCCUGGCUGACCGGGCAACUGGGAGGCUGGGGAACGUGCGACUAUAUCACGGAACAACCAGGAAGGGGCGCACGUUCGGACCGCGCUACAAAGGAUGGGGUCGCAGACCUUCGGGAAAGCGGCUUCGCCCCAGCGGCUCUUGCGUUGUGCUUCUGACCUAUCAACUAGAUGGCAGCCUAACGGACAUGCUAUGGUUACAACGGGUACAGAGGAUUAGGGUUCGAUCCUGGAGAGUGGGCCUGAGAGAUU